rnacentral:rRNA from 1 species
CAAGACCUUGCGCUUUUGGAGCGGCCGAUGUCUGAUUAGCUAGUUGGUGGGGUAAUGGCUUACCAAGGCUUCGAUCAGUAGCUGGUCUGAGAGGACGACCAGCCACACUGGGACUGAGACACGGCCCAGACUCCUACGGGAGGCAGCAGUGGGGAAUUUUGGACAAUGGGGGAAACCCUGAUCCAGCCAUGCCGCGUGAGUGAAGAAGGCCUUCGGGUUGUAAAGCUCUUUCAGCCGGAACGAAAAGGUCACGGCUAAUACCUGUGACAAAUGACGGUACCGGAAGAAGAAGCACCGGCUAACUACGUGCCAGCAGCCGCGGUAAUACGUAGGGUGCAAGCGUUAAUCGGAAUUACUGGGCGUAAAGCGUGCGCAGGCGGUUUUGUAAGUCAGAUGUGAAAUCCCCGGGCUUAACCUGGGAACU